GCGCCCCGGCCGCGCUGGAGCUCCGUGCGGUUCCACACACCGCGGGGUGCGGGAAACCGGCGUUCUCCGGGCAGGGUCCGGUCCGCUUGAAGGCAUCGCGAAGUCCGACAAGUAAAGAAAAGUCGCGGCCCUUUCAGCCCCGGGUCAGCCGGCCGGGCCGUAGAUUACAAGCUGUCGUCACAAAAAUCACAGCAGGUGAUUUCGUCAAGCGAGAACACAGGUGACUGAGCUGCCUCAUAGAUACUGGGCCUUAAACCAGCCGCCAUGAGAUCCAAGGUCACGCUCUACCAACCAACAACAGCCAGAGUAGGGCAGCGUUGGGUCCGACUUUUUUGUGGGCACAACCUCUGCUGCACCUUGGCACAGGCUCUGAUGAGAUGGGACUCACUGCCUUGGUAUUAGUUUUGAAUUGGUAGGCAAGACGUGUAACACAACAUUCAAACCUGUUCGUUUUUUUUCCAUGGCAACAUGUAAAUGUACACAAACUAUUUAGGUUUGUAAUCUGUGCCCUAGCUCACAAAAGCAUAUAUUUUGUCUGAAUUGGUUUGUUCUAUAAGUGAAUGGAUCGACUUCAAUA